GGUUAAGCGACUAAGCGUACACGGUGGAUGCCCUGGCAGUCAGAGGCGAUGAAGGACGUGCUAAUCUGCGAUAAGCGUCGGUGAGGUGAUAUGAACCGUUAUAACCGGCGAUUUCCGAAUGGGGAAACCCAGUGUGUUUCGACACACUAUCAUUAACUGAAUCCAUAGGUUAAUGAGGCGAACCGGGGGAACUGAAACAUCUAAGUACCCCGAGGAAAAGAAAUCAACCGAGAUUCCCCCAGUAGCGGCGAGCGAACGGGGAGGAGCCCAGAGCCUGAAUCAGUGUGUGUGUUAGUGGAAGCGUCUGGAAAGGCGUGCGAUACAGGGUGACAGCCCCGUACACAAAAAUGCACAUAUUGUGAGCUCGAUGAGUAGGGCGGGACACGUGGUAUCCUGUCUGAAUAUGGGGGGACCAUCCUCCAAGGCUAAAUACUCCUGACUGACCGAUAGUGAACCAGUACCGUGAGGGAAAGGCGAAAAGAACCCCGGCGAGGGGAGUGAAAAAGAACCUGAAACCGUGUACGUACAAGCAGUGGGAGCCUCUUAAUGGGGUGACUGCGUACCUUUUGUAUAAUGGGUCAGCGACUUAUAUUCUGUAGCAAGGUUAACCGAAUAGGGGAGCCGAAGGGAAACCGAGUCUUAACUGGGCGUUAAGUUGCAGGGUAUAGACCCGAAACCCGGUGAUCUAGCCAUGGGCAGGUUGAAGGUUGGGUAACACUAACUGGAGGACCGAACCGACUAAUGUUGAAAAAUUAGCGGAUGACUUGUGGCUGGGGGUGAAAGGCCAAUCAAACCGGGAGAUAGCUGGUUCUCCCCGAAAGCUAUUUAGGUAGCGCCUCGUGAAUUCAUCUCCGGGGGUAGAGCACUGUUUCGGCAAGGGGGUCAUCCCGACUUACCAACCCGAUGCAAACUGCGAAUACCGGAGAAUGUUAUCACGGGAGACACACGGCGGGUGCUAACGUCCGUCGUGAAGAGGGAAACAACCCAGACCGCCAGCUAAGGUCCCAAAGUCAUGGUUAAGUGGGAAACGAUGUGGGAAGGCCCAGACAGCCAGGAUGUUGGCUUAGAAGCAGCCAUCAUUUAAAGAAAGCGUAAUAGCUCACUGGUCGAGU
rnacentral:rRNA from 1 species